AGAGUUUGAUCCUGGCUCAGAGUGAACGCUGGCGGCGUGCCUAACACAUGCAAGUCGAACGAGAACGGGUAUUAGUUUACUAAUACUGUCAGCUAAGUGGCGCACGGGUGAGUAAUAUAUAGUUAACCUGCCUCAAAGAAGAGAAUAAUUGUUGGAAACGACUUGUAAUGCUCUAUAUGCCUUUAUCACAUAAGUGGGCAAGGGAAAUAUUUAUAGCUUUGAGAUGGGACUGUACGGUAUCAGUUUGUUGGUGAGGUAAUGGCUCACCAAGACUAUGACGCCUAACUGGUUUGAGAGGAUGAUCAGUCACACUGGAACUGAGACACGGUCCAGACUCCUACGGGAGGCAGCAGUGGGGAAUAUUGCACAAUGGAGGAAACUCUGAUGCAGCAACGCCGCGUGGAGGAUGACACAUUUCGGUGCGUAAACUCCUUUUAUUAGGGAAGAUAAUGACGGUACCUAAUGAAUAAGCACCGGCUAACUCCGUGCCAGCAGCCGCGGUAAUACGGGGGGUGCAAGCGUUACUCGGAAUCACUGGGCGUAAAGAGCAUGUAGGCUGGUUUGUAAGUUUGGAAGUGAAAUCCUAUGGCUUAACCAUAGAACUGCU
rnacentral:rRNA from 1 species